UGCAGGUAUCGCAAGCACACUGCAAGCUCGAACGGGAACCUCUCGGGUAUCUAGAUGGCGGACGGGUGAGUAACGCGCGAGAAUCUGCCUUCAGGAUGGGGACAACAGUGGGAAACGACUGCUAAAACCCGAUGUGCCGAGAGGUAAAAAAUUUAUUGCCUGAAGAGGAGCUCGCGUCUGAUUAGCUAGUUGGUGGGGUAAAGGCCUACCAAGGCGGCGAUCAGUAGCUGGUCUGAGAGGAUGAUCAGCCACACUGGGACUGAGACACGGCCCAGACUCCUACGGGAGGCAGCAGUGGGGAAUUUUCCGCAAUGGGCGAAAGCCUGACGGAGCAAUACCGCGUGGGGGAGGAAGGCUCUUGGGUUGAAACUCCUUUUCUCAGGGAAGAACAAAAUGACGGUACCUGAGGAAUCAGCAUCGGCUAACUCCGUGCCAGCAGCCGCGGUAAUAUGGAGGAGGCAAGCUUUCUAGAAAAUCUUGGG
rnacentral:rRNA from 1 species